UCCAUGUUCUUUUUUAUGUCAAAACCAAUUGUGCUUUUUGCUGAAGUUUCGUUUCUCUGUUAGGAACUAACUCUGAUUGCUGUGAAACUAACUACUGUAAGGUUUCUAUUCUCUGUAACCCUGAAUCUUAUCUCUUUGGCACUACUCCCGGACAAUACAAUAUUCCUAAUAUGGAAGUUCCGUCUUUGUUUCUCUUUCUCUGACUGUAGAAUAGAGCGUGUUAAUAUGAUAGGUUAAAUACAUAACUUACGAUGAUAUGCUAAUAAAGAGGGUAAAGCCCCCUCUAUAUAACCUGUGUGCAUUAAAAAUAAACCUCAGAGUGUUCAUUCAGUACAUCACUGUUGUGUCUUUUAUUACCUACUGAGUGAAGCGCUCUCCUGACGUCAGAAAAGGACUCAAACCAAGCCGAUACUAGAAGUUUGGUGCCAGGGGUACCAAGUGGGACGUUGAGAUUUCUAUCAGUUUGGGGGCUCGUGUCCGGGGAUCGAGAAGGUUUUCCUCGUGUUCGGUAAGAAAGGCAUCUGUUAUUGUCCUCUGGCCGAUCCGAGAACCACGUCUCGAUCUAGAACCCACCCACCCAUACAGGGUGGGGGAUGAGGUAGUGAUCAAAACACUGAAGAAAGGAAAAUCCCAAGGUGACUUCGCAUAUGGCCCACCCACUACCGUGGUUGCAGUAACCAGAACAGCCAUGCUGACUGAACAGUCUCCAACUUGGAUCCACGCCACCCGAGUGAAGCUUUAUGACAACAAGGCCCAGAGGUACUAACGGGGGCAGACAGCCCUGACCUCCAACAAGGCCCAGAGGUACUAACGGGGGCAGACAGCCCUGACCUCCAACAAGGCCCAGAGGUACUAACGGGGGCAGACAGCCCUGACCUCCAACAUGAUGAGCUCUUCACUCUUUUCUGGAAAAUGGUUGAAUGUACUGACUAAGAUUGCUUCAAUAAUCUUGUUGAUUUUACCAAUUAGUAGUAUGGGAGAAGUAGCCGCAACUAGCAAGGGCGGCGUCAUCACCUUUUGGUAUAAUUCAUCUAACCCUCACGUAGCUACCUACACCUUUUGUCUUUGUGAUAUAUUGAAAACAUGUUCAUAUUAUAACUACUGUUUCAACAACUAUGUAGAAGGACAGGCCUAUAUAUGUGUAACAGACUCAUACUGGGGAAAAGGUUGUGCAUACUAGGGAUCAGUGGGAUGGAAUACAGGGACUGAAUGGGGAUAUAAACCAGAAAGCGCCCUCAAAAGGAGGGAUAAAGAUUCUAAGUCCCUUUUGACUAGAAUGACACUCCUUGAGAGAGGGACGUGUUAUGUGGACACCUCCUCAUUGAAUUAUUGCAACAAAAAAAAAGGUCAGCGGAAAUGAAAAUUGUAUUGACAAUAGAAAACCCUGGUAAAUAUGAUGAAGGAGAUUAUGUAUUGGGAUGGUACUUCCAUAAAAUGUGGGGAGCUGCGACUUCCCGGGUAACACAAAUGUUCAAACUUAGAGAUAUGUAUAAGUCUAAGGAAUACCAACCCAUCACAGGUGUCCCCAAAAACCCACUAGUCCCACAUAUAGUUUCUUUAAAAAACCUAAGGGCCAUAUCUAAUCCCACAUAUGAGGAUACUUUGGCCAUGGGGACGGGUUUUUCUGAUGUUAAUUUGUGGCUGGAGUGGAUGAAGUAUAGUGCAGCCUCUGUGAAUAAAAGUAACUGUUACAUAUGCGGUGCUGCCAAGCCACACCUAGGUACCGUACCCCUAGUGUUACCAGAAAGUGUUGAAGAAUGUUUUUUUGACUCUUUUUGUUAAUAUGUCUUAUAACCACAGUGCAUGUACAGAAUGGAAAUCAAAAUACCCUCUGUUGUUAAAAAAUCCUCGCCCAGGGGCAGGUAUCCAAGUAUAUCCAGGUAACUACACAUGUUACAAAGGGAGUACACAUGGGAGGAACGUACAGAAUUUCACCAAAGGUUAUUGUCACAAAUACAGCAAUCUGAACAUAUCCCUCACUCAGAACCAAGUGUACUCCAUAGGAGAUGUGUUCUGGAUCUGUGGAGGUGGAAAAAUAAGAUCCAGACUGGACGGUGCCUGGAAAGGUGAAUGUGCGCUUGCCAAAGUUAUAAUGAACAUGCACAUUUUUACUGAAUCAGAUAUUAUAGAAAAAGGGGUGCUAAAGAUAAACAAAAGAAGCAGCCCCCUUUCAAGUUUUGAUCCCCAUGUGUAUAUAGAUGCAAUAGGUGUUCCAAGAGGGGUCCCAGAUGAGUUCAAAGCUAGAGAUCAAGUAGCCGCCGGAUUUGAAUCAAUAUUUCGCAUCAUUACUGUGAAUAAAAAUGUGGAUUGGAUAAAUUACAUAUACUACAAUCAGCAAAGGUUUGUAAACUAUACUAGAGAUGCAUUACAAGGGGUAUCAGAAGAACUACAAGCAGACUCAAUCAUGACAUUCCAGAAUCUAAUGGUGUUGGACAUGAUUCUCACAGAGAAGGGCGGAGUGUGCCGAGUAUUGACUGAUCCAACCUCCUGCUGCACAUACAUACCAAAUAAUACUGGCCCCACUGGUAAGGUCACAAUAGCUAUAAAAAAAGCUUGAAGAUCUGUCAAUAGAACUGAAAAAGAACUCGGGUAUAAAUAAUCCAUGGGAUCAAUACUUUGGGUGGUUCACAAGUUGGAAACAAGGUCUCAUGAAACUAGGGAUUGUCAUACUAAUAGUAAUUGUAGUAAUAGGUGUAGUAGCAUUAUGUGUUAUUCCUUGUGUGAGAUGAAUGCUAGAAAAAGGGCUCUCUAAUAUGUCACUAUAUCAGACUACUCUACCCCAGGAGGAUAGAAGCCCAGAUGGGUAUAAGAAUUACCUAAUAUAAUAUAGAGAGAGAAAGGACAAGAAAGGAAAGAACCAUUUAGUGUGAUCCACUAAAGGUUCUUAAGAGGGGAUUUGAAAGGAAUCCAUGUUCUUUUUUAUGUCAAAACCAAUUGUGCUUUUUGCUGAAGUUUCGUUUCUCUGUUAGGAACUAACUCUGAUUGCUGUGAAACUAACUACUGUAAGGUUUCUAUUCUCUGUAACCCUGAAUCUUAUCUCUUUGGCACUACUCCCGGACAAUACAAUAUUCCUAAUAUGGAAGUUCCGUCUUUGUUUCUCUUUCUCUGACUGUAGAAUAGAGCGUGUUAAUAUGAUAGGUUAAAUACAUAACUUACGAUGAUAUGCUAAUAAAGAGGGUAAAGCCCCCUCUAUAUAACCUGUGUGCAUUAAAAAUAAACCUCAGAGUGUUCAUUCAGUA